rnacentral:lncRNA from 1 species
CAGCCAUGAGGGUCUGUUUACUGGAAAGGUGAACAGAUAGCUGUGGCAGCCAAGUGCUUGGAGGUAAUUGGUGUGACCUCCAUUUCCACCCUUCCCCCAUUAGAGAAUAUGUCAGCUUCUCAACACUCAGGUCUGCUGCUCUGCACUGAGGAAGCAGGCUCAUGUUAGACAAAAAGCUUCUUAAAAUGUGGAAAUUACAAAAAAUAGCACAGCCUUGCAGAUAAAUGCUAAUUCUGUGCAUAUUAAAAGUCAUCCAUCUUCCUGUGUUUUUGAGAUACGCAGAGCUGUAAUAACCAGGAAGAUUGUGCAUGUUUCAUCUUCACUGAUCUUUGUGAAAGAUUGAUGUGAGCUGUGACCUUGACAGCUCCUGUGAAAGGUGUCAUAAAUUACUCUAGUUUUCGAAUCCUGAAUGGAAGAAGCUUGCUGUAGCCUGCACUUCUCUCUGAAGCAGUACCUAAAUCAAUCAGCAAGAAUGGUUUUUAUUUGAUUCUUUCUUGCAGGCAGGACUCUUCUGAUAUUUUAAUUAGUAUGGAUGAAAUAUUCCAUAAUUCUGAUUCUCUAAAGGUCUUUCGGUGCAGGUGCAGCUUCUGGUACUUCUGCAGAGCUUCCAGCCUAAGGACCGGUGGGCAGGUGUGAGUAGUGGAACGGUCAUUCCAGCUUCUGGCAGAAUGUAAUGUGUAAACAUGCAGUGUAAAGACAGAAUGAGGUUUUCAGAUCUAGUUUUAAAAAAGACUAUGAAGCACACAGCCACCUAUGCACCUCCUGAUUGGGACUGGCUGAGAUGGAGCACCCAUGUUUAGUUGAAUUGCAGCCAUUGGUGGUGUUUCUCACUGUGGAAUCAUUGUGGUGAUUAAUAGGUAUGUUGUGUUCAUGUAACUUCACGUCUUGGUCCACAGGGGCCCAUAAGGUAACCAACCUAAUGCUUUUUAAAGUUGAACAUUUUCCAGCAUUUGUGUGAGGUUAUAAAUGAAGCAGUGCCUCCCAUGUAUCAUCCCAAGAGCUGCUUUCUUUCACUGUCCUCCCCUGACAUAACAGUAACAGAAAGGGGAUGGGCUUGUGCUGAAAGUAUAGCUGGCAGCAGCCUAUGUAAUGAAAAUGUUCCUGUCUACCUCGAAGUGCCAGUAAUUCUUGAGGAAGGAGGAGCUCUCUGCAUGAUUUCCUAGCAGGAUUGUUCAUGCUUUAUAGCAACAUUCCUUUGCCACCUUGGAGCAGGGGCUUAGCACCUGAUGCAUACCACAGUGCUACCAUAUCAGUCCACGUGCAAUUAAGUUGCAUAAUGUAUACGUAACAAGACAAUUAUGACUGGGGACAGAUAAGCGUUGAUUGUUGCCAUUUCCCCGAAACAUGCACUUUACAAUAGUGCCUCAUAGCCACUGGAAUGGCAGAAGCCUUUUUAAGGCUUUACACCAUGUAGUAGACUUUUCAAGUCUUCAUUUUAUUUGGAGGAGCCAAUGAAAGACAAGGAACUGUGAAUAAUUAUAAUCUCUUUGAUUCGUGCUGGCAG